UACGGGGGGGGCAAGCGUUGUUCGGAAUUACUGGGCGUAAGGGGCUCGUAGGCGGCCAACUAAGUCAGACGUGAAAUCCCUCGGCUUAACCGGGGAACUGCGUCUGAUACUGGAUGGCUUGAGGUUGGGAGAGGGAUGCGGAAUUCCAGGUGUAGCGGUGAAAUGCGUAGAUAUCUGGAGGAACACCGGUGGCGAAGGCGGCAUCCUGGACCAAUUCUGACGCUGAGGAGCGAAAGCCAGGGGAGCAAACGGG
rnacentral:rRNA from 1 species